GGAGCUUUUGACUAUCUUCAGCAGUUUUGUAUUAUACUAAAUGGGAUGUGAUGUUUUCCUUAAGAACCUCCAUGAAAUGGGGAAAAUGGUAUUUCCCACAUUGCUGCCACCCUCGGCCUAAAGAUAGGAUUCGUCAACUCUCCCAGUGGUCUCCCCAAAGCCGGCAUCUCCCUUGGUGACAAGGACAGACUACAGAGGAGUUUGCAACCAUCAACCUUGUAGUCCAGUUCUCAGGUGCUGGUCAUCAGGUGUGGCCACAGGAGACAAGACCCAAGUAGGGGCACAGGAGGAAAAAUUACAUUCUACUCACAGGCCCUAGAGUGACAGAGAAGUUGUCACAUGGAAAGGAGUGCAAAGGAAGGUUGGGAGCAGACAGUGAAGACCGCAGGUCACCUCAAGAGUGUCACCUCAUGGUGGCAAGAUGGCUGCUGCACUUCCAGACUUCCCAUCUGAGAAAGAAUUAGGCUCCUUGCCUUAUAGCUUUCAUUUGGUCUCUGGGUAUUUUCUUUACUCUUCUUAAUUCUACUCAUUGUCCACGAGACUGACAUAUAUGGAUAGAGCUUGUGUCUAGGUUUUGUUUGGGAUGGGCCUACAGGAAAUGUAACAACAAUUGUGGUUAUCAAUUUAAUUGAAUAAGAAACACCUAGCAGAUUAGUAAAGCGCACCUCUAGAUGUACCUAUGAGAUGUUUCCAGAAAUACCUAUUCAUCCAAUAGUCUUGGAGCCCAGAUGGAAUGGAAAGAAAAGGAGGAAGUUGUCCUGUGUUGGAAAAGCUCUAUUCUUCAUGAGUGGGUCUGUCUUUCUUCUUGGGUGGAUGUGUCUUUUCUAACACAGAUUUCUAACACAGAUAAGUAGCAGUGACUGUCCAGGGAGUUUCCAGGCCUUCGGUCUCAGACUGGUACUGUACCCUUGAUCAGUUGUGUUCUUCAGCUUCCAGCUUCUUGGAAUGAGUGGCCUCUGGGUCCUCUGGCUCUCCAGUGUGUGGGUGGUCAAUGUGGACUCUCCCAUCUCUGAUCCUGUGAGCCUCUCUAAUAAAUAAAUGCCUUGCAUCUAUUCUCUUCCUCUAAAGAACUCUAAUCAAGGAGUCUCAGCAGAACGUGGAAGGGAGGAGAAUGAGGUGAGGGUAUAGAAUCCCUGUUCCUCCCUCUGGGGCUGCCUGGGCUGGAAGCCACAGCUCUGCUCCAGGCAGUCCUUCCCACACAAAGAUAUAACUCUCUCCUUGGAAAUGCUUCUUCCCGUGAUCCCUGUGGGUCUAGGGAUGGAAGCAGCUCUGCUGUUACAAACCACGGGUACUGCACUACCAUGUAGUCCCAGAUUGCUGCCCGCUUCUUUGUAAAUAAUGCCUUUACCUUUCCGAGUUAGUCUAAUUUGUGCCCUGUUUGCCCAUUGGACCUGAAUGCUAUAGGCCUCACCAGCUUCUAGAGACUUCCCUUUCGUGGCC
rnacentral:lncRNA from 1 species